rnacentral:rRNA from 1 species
CCUGCCGGACCUGACUGCUAUCGGAUUGAUACUAAGCCAUGCGAGUCAUUGUAGCAAUACAAGGCAGACGGCUCAGUAACGCGUAGUCAACCUAACCUAUGGACGGGAAUAACCUCGGGAAACUGAGAAUAAUGCCCGAUAGAACACUAUAUCUGGAAUGGUUUGUGUUCCAAAUGAUUUAUCGCCGUAGGAUGGGACUGCGGCCUAUCAGUUUGUUGGUGAGGUAAUGGCCCACCAAGACUAUUACAGGUACGGGCUCUGAGAGGAGUAGCCCGGAGAUGGGUACUGGGACACGGACCCAGGCCCUAUGGGGCGCAGCAGGCGAGAAAACUUUGCAAUGUGCGAAAGCACGACAAGGUUAAUCCGAGUGGUUUCUGCUAAAGGAACCUUUUGUCGGUCCUAGAAACACCGAUGAAUAAGGGGUGGGCAAGUUCUGGUGUCAGCCGCCGCGGUAAAACCAGCACCUCAAGUGGUCAGGAUGAUUAUUGGGCCUAAAGCAUCCGUAGCCUGCUUUGUUAGUUUUCGGUUAAAUCUAUACGCUCAACGUAUAGGCUGCCGGGAAUACUGCAAAGCUAGGGAGUGGGAGAGGUAGACGGUACUCGGUAGGAAGGGGUAAAAUCCUUUGAUCUAUUGAUGACCACCUGUGGCGAAGGCGGUCUACCAGAACACGUCCGACGGUGAGGGAUGAAAGCUGGGGGAGCAAACCGGAUUAGAUACCCGGGUAGUCCCAGCCGUAAACCAUGCAAACUCAGUGAUGCAUUGGCUUGUGGCCAAUGCAGUGCUGCAGGGAAGCCGUUAAGUUUGCCGCCUGGGAAGUACGUACGCAAGUAUGAAACUUAAAGGAAUUGGCGGGGGAGCACCACAA